AUUGAACGCUGGCGGCAUGCUUUACACAUGCAAGUCGAACGGUAACAGGCCGCAAGGUGCUGACGAGUGGCGAACGGGUGAGUAAUGCAUCGGAACGUGCCCAGUCGUGGGGGAUAACGCAGCGAAAGCUGCGCUAAUACCGCAUACGACCUGAGGGUGAAAGCGGGGGAUCGCAAGACCUCGCGCUAUUGGAGCGGCCGAUAUCAGAUUAGGUAGUUGGUGGGGUAAAGGCCUACCAAACCGACGAUCUGUAGCUGGUCUGAGAGGACGACCAGCCACACUGGGACUGAGACACGGCCCAGACUCCUACGGGAGGCAGCAGUGGGGAAUUUUGGACAAUGGGCGCAAGCCUGAUCCAGCCAUGCCGCGUGUGGGAAGAAGGCCUUCGGGUUGUAAAGCACUUUCAGUGGGGAGAAAGGAGUGUGUGCUAAUACCACAUGCUAUUGAUGUUACCCACAGAAGAAGCACCGGCUAACUCUGUGCCAGCCGCCGCUGUAAAAC
rnacentral:rRNA from 1 species